rnacentral:rRNA from 1 species
CCUACGGGUGGCAGCAGUGAGGAAUAUUGGUCAAUGGGCGGAAGCCUGAACCAGCCAAGUAGCGUGCAGGAUGACGGCCCUAUGGGUUGUAAACUGCUUUUAUACGGGAAUAACGUGCCUUACGCGUCCCGCUUUGCAUGUACCUUAUGAAUAAGGAUCGGCUAAUUCCGUGCCAGCAGCCGCGGUAAUACGGAGGGUCCGGGCGUUAUCCGGAUUUAUUGGGUUUAAAGGGAGCGUAGGCCGCAUGUCAAGCCUGCGGGGAAAUGUCGGGGCUCAACCCUGGCAUUGCAGCUGAAACUGGCGUGCUUGAGUCCGCGGAAGGCAGGCGGAAGUCGUCGUGUAGCGGUGAAAUGCUUAGAUAUGACGAAGAACCCCGAUUGCGAAGGCAGCUUGC